UGAGGAAUAUUGGUCAAUGGGCGAGAGCCUGAACCAGCCAAGUAGCGUGAAGGAUGACUGCCCUAUGGGUUGUAAACUUCUUUUAUAAAGGAAUAAAGUCGGGUAUGGAUACCCGUUUGCAUGUACUUUAUGAAUAAGGAUCGGCUAACUCCGUGCCAGCAGCCGCGGUAAUACGGAGGAUCCGAGCGUUAUCCGGAUUUAUUGGGUUUAAAGGGAGCGUAGAUGGAUGUUUAAGUCAGUUGUGAAAGUUUGCGGCUCAACCGUAAAAUUGCAGUUGAUACUGGAUAUCUUGAGUGCAGUUGAGGCAGGCGGAAUUCGUGGUGUAGCGGUGAAAUGCUUAGAUAUCACGAAGAACUCCGAUUGCGAAGGCAGCCUGCUAAGCUGCAACUGACAUUGAGGCUCGAAAGUGUGGGUAUCAAACAGGAUUAGAUACCCUGGUAGUCCACACGGUAAACGAUGAAUACUCGCUGUUUGCGAUAUACUGCAAGCGGCCAAGCGAAAGCGUUAAGUAUUCCACCUGGGGAGUACGCCGGCAACGGUGAAACUCAAAGGAAUUGACGGGGGCCCGCACAAGCGGAGGAACAUGUGGUUUAAUUCGAUGAUACGCGAGGAACCUUACCCGGGCUUAAAUUGCAGAUGAAUUACGGUGAAAGCCGUAAGCCGCAAGGCAUCUGUGAAGGUGCUGCAUGGUUGUCGUCAGCUCGUGUCGUGAGGUGUCGGCUUAAGUGCCAUAACGAGCGCAACCCUUGUUGUCAGUUACUAACAGGUUCCGCUGAGGACUCUGACAAGACUGCCAUCGUAAGAUGUGAGGAAGGUGGGGAUGACGUCAAAUCAGCACGGCCCUUACGUCCGGGGCUACACACGUGUUACAAUGGGGGGUACAGAGGGCCGCUACCACGCGAGUGGAUGCCAAUCCCCAAAACCUCUCUCAGUUCGGACUGGAGUCUGCAACCCGACUCCACGAAGCUGGAUUCGCUAGUAAUCGCGCAUCAGCCACGGCGCGGUGAAUACGUUCCC
rnacentral:rRNA from 1 species